rnacentral:tRNA from 1 species
GGGCCGGUAGAUCAGUCUGGAAGAUCGCUUCCUUGGCAUGGAAGAGGCCGCGAGUUCGAGUCUCGCCCGGUCCACCA